CUGACUGGAUGUCACUGGAGGGUUGGCAGUUUGAAUCCCAUGUCUGACUGGAUGUUACUGGAGGGUUGGCAGUUUGAAUCCCAUAUCUGACUGGAUGUCACUGGAGGGUUGGCAGUUUGAAUCCCAUGUCUGACUGGAUGUCACUGGAGGGUUGGCAGUUUGAAUCCCAUAUCUGACUGGAUGUCACUGGAGGGUUGGCAGUUUGAAUCCCAUGUCUGACUGGAUGUCACUGGAGGGUUGGCAGUUUGAAUCCCAUGUCUGACUGGAUGUCACUGGAGGGUUGGCAGUUUGAAUCCCAUGUCUGACUGGAGGGUUGGCAGUUUGAAUCCCAUGUCUGACUGGAGGGUUGGCAGUUUGAAUCCCAUGUCUGACUGGAGGGUUGGCAGUUUGAAUCGCAUGUCUGACUGGAGGGUUGGCAGUUUGAAUCCCAUGUCUGACUGGAGGGUUGGCAGUUUGAAUCCCAUGUCUGACUAGAUGUCACUGGAGGGUUGGCAGUUUGAAUCCCAUAUCUGACUGGAUGUCACUGGAGGGUUGGCAGUUUGAAUCCCAUAUCUGACUGGAUGUCACUGGAGGGUUGGCAGUUUGAAUCCCAUAUCUGACUGGAUGUCACUGGAGGGUUGGCAGUUUGAAUCCCAUGUCUGACUGGAUGUCACUGGAGGGUUGGCAGUUUGAAUCCCAUGUCUGACUGGAUGUUACUGGAGGGUUGGCAGUUUGAAUCCCAUAUCUGACUGGAUGUCACUGGAGGGUUGGCAGUUUGAAUCCCAUGUCUGACUGGAUGUCACUGGAGGGUUGGCAGUUUGAAUCCCAUGUCUGACUGGAGGGUUGGCAGUUUGAAUCCCAUGUCUGACUGGAGGGUUGGCAGUUUGAAUCCCAUGUCUGACUGGAGGGUUGGCAGUUUGAAUCCAUGUCUGACUGGA